UGUAAUUAUUUUUAUUGACUGAUUGCAUAUCAUUAAACAGGUAAUCUGGAAUCCCUAUUUCAACCAUAAUGAGUCAUUUCAGAUGAUAGGCAGCAGGCAUUUCAAACUGUAAUGUGCCCUACAACUUUGAUAUUUGACGAUAUUGCCGAGCUAUACAUGCUAGACAGAGUAUGCCGGUAAUUUGGAGCAAAACAGAGCAUUCCUAGGAAUCCCUUAGUAAGAGGGCAAGCAGACAAGUUGGACAACAAGACUGGCGAAACGUCAAUGCAGAUAAAAUCGCUAACUGGUUGUCUCGCCAUGACCGCAUCAUGCCUGAUAUUCAAUAAGAUACUGACAAUGGGUUGUCCUCAGAGGAGUAUAAGGCCUGGUACAACUUGGUGUCCCACCCUUUGAUACAUAAUGUCGCUAACCCACCCAAAGACAUAUUGCAACCUCUUAUCCAUGAAGAAAAAGAAGUGGUUCCUGCUCAUGAACCACAAUAUAUAAUGAGACCUCGAGGUUAGUGCAGUUAAGGUAUCUACAGUCAUGUUGGCAGAGGCACUUACACUUAGACAAAAGUGGUACCAUGAAGUUCUUAAUCGCGUUAACAACGCGUUUGAAUGUUGUCUAAGUUUGUGCAUGUGGAUAUGGGUGAAGUAGAAGCCAUUUCAGAUGAUAGGCAGCAGGCAUUUCAAACUAUAAUGUGCCCUACAACUUUGAUAUUUGACGAUAUUGCCGAGCUAUACAUGCUAGACAGAGUAUGCCGAUAAUUUGGAGCAAAACAAGGCAUUCCUAGGAAUCCCUUAGGAAGAGGACAAGCAGACAAGUUGGAUAACAAGACUGGCGAAACAUCAAUGCAGAUAAAAUCGCUAACUGGUUGUCUCGCCGUGACCGCAUCAUGCCUGAUAUUCAAUAAGAUACUGACAAUGGGUUGUCUUCAGAGGAGUAUAAGGUUAGUGCAGUUAAGGUAUCUAUAGUCAUGUUGGUAGAGGCACUUACACUUAGACAAAAGUGGUACCAUGAAGUUCUUAAUCGCGUUAACAACGCGUUUGAAUGUUGUCUAAGUUUGUGCCUAUGGAUAUGGGUGAAGUAAAAGCCAUUUCAGAUGAUAGGCAGCAGGCAUUUCAAACUGUAAUGUGCCCUACAACUUUGAUAUUUGACGAUAUUGCCGAGCUAUACAUGCUAGACAGAGUAUGCCGAUAAUUUGGAGCAAAACAGGGCAUUCCUAGGAAUCCCUUAGUAAGAGGGCAAACAGACAAGUUGGACAACAAGACUGGCGUAACGUCAAUGCAGAUAAAAUCGCUAACUGGUUGUCUCGCCAUGACCGCAUCAUGCCUGAUAUUCAAUAAGAUACUGACAAUGGGUUGUCUUCAGAGGAGUAUAAGGCCUGGUACAACUUGGUGUCCCACCCUUUGAUACAUAAUAUCGCUAACCCACCCAAAGACAUAUUGCAACCUCAUAUCCAUGAAGAAAAAGAAGUGCUUCCUGCUCAUGAACCACAAUAUAUAAUGAGACCUCGAGGUUAUGAGGACUAGUUGGUUAGUGCAGUUAAGGUAUCUAUAGUCAUGUUGGUAGAGGCACUUACACUUAGACAAAAGUGGUACCAUGAAGUUCUUAAUCGCGUUAACAACGCGUUUGAAUGUUGUCUAAGUUUGUGCCUGUGGAUAUGGGUGAUGUAGAAGCCAGGAUGGAGUAUUUCCAACGUCAAUAUACAACGUCAAUAUAAUGAUGAAGAUGUACCUGACGAGGCUGGAGAUGAUGGAGUGGGUCAAAGUAGUCGGGCUGAGAAGACUUAGCUCCCUCCACACAAUCUGUAGUUAAGAAACCCAGAAGAUAUAACACAUGAAAUAAACAGUAUCAGCCUAAGAGAAGGCGAGGCGUGCAAUGGGUCAUUUUGAGGAUCUCAAUUUUGUAAUGGGUCAUUUUGAGGGUCAUAUAGA